AUGGGCAUUCCGUUCCAGCUCCAAUCCCAGCAGGGAAUACAGCAAGCGAAGGCCCUACUAGCAGAAAACAAAAUAAUGAUCAAAAAGGAAACUUCUCCAUCUGAACCUUUUGGGGGGCAACCUGCAAAAAAUGCAUCCACUCCGAAGCCAAAUAUGGCAACUGCUGCCAAGGUUAAUGCUAUGGUCGGAAAUAAGACAUGGUUUGGAGGGCUUUUCACUGGCUCAGGUAAAAAGCGUCAAGUCCAUGCCGAGAAGAACUUUGAAAUGACCCCUCUUCAGGAACAAAGGAUGCAAAAAUUAAAGGACAGACUAAACAUACCUUUUGACGAGACCCGACCGGAUCAUCUGACAUCCCUGAAGGCUCUUUGGAAAAAUUCCUUUCCUGAUACAGAGCUCACGAGCUUAGUUUCCGAACAGUGGAAAGAUAUGGGGUGGCAGGGCCCAAAUCCUGCAACUGAUUUCAGGGGCUGUGGAUUUGUCUCGCUUGAGAAUCUUCUAUUCUUCGCAAGAAGAUACCCGGCUUCUUUCCAGAAAUUGCUGCUGAAAACACAAGGAAUGCGAGCCACAUGGGAAUACCCCUUUGCGACAGCAGGCGUUAACGUCUCACACAUGUUGAUCCAACUGUUGGAGCUUAAUUCAGCUCGACCGAAAACUUUGCCGGGGAUUAACUUCGUCAGAAUGUUGUCCGAGCACGAGGACGUGUUCGACAUCCUAUACUGCAUAGCCUUCGAGAUGAUGGACGCUCAGUGGCUAGCGAUGCGCGCCUCCUACAUGCAGUUCAACGAUGUGCUGGAAGCGACGAAGGCGCAGCUGGAGAGGGAGCUGUCUCUGGAGGACCUCCUGCGGAUCCAGGACCUGCCAGCUUACAACCUCUUGUUGAAAUGA
rnacentral:rRNA from 1 species